GCAACUGCAUUGUUGUGAAAAUUGUGAAUGUUUAAUUUAGUCUUUUUACAUGAUUAUAGGUUUCCUUGAAGUUUCUUGACUGGUGACAUUGUUAUCUAGAUAUGGUCACAUGAAGGCUGAAUUUGAGUUAUUAUAAAGAAGAUAUAUUGGCUCUGAUAGUGAUAAACGGCUAAUACUCAUUUUGUCUACACCUCUUCUUGCCAGAUCUAAAUAGACCUCGCUUUUAUUAUUGUUCCAAUUACAUUGGACAGCUGAUAGAUUUGAAUCUUGACGAGUAGGAAAGUUGGCCAUGGCAACGUGCUAUGCCUUAAUCUGUAUGUAAUCUCCUUAAUGUGUCAAUGGUGAACAUGGAAGAAAGUCUGUUAGCUAUGUCCAAAUAAGGUUCCUCGAAGAUCUGUUUUCAUCAAUCUGAGCUGUAUCCCUUUCAAUUUGAUUUGAACUAUCAAAUUUGGAUAUCAAUUCUCUUCAGCUCAUAGGGGCAGACAAGAUGUGCUUAUCCUUAAUCUUUGGAGAAGCGAAGAAAAAAAAUAUGAUGAUGGUAUUAAAGAAUGCACAAAAGCAUUGGAGCUAAACCUUAACUACAUAAGUGUUUUGCUAAGAAGAGCAGAGGUGUAUGAAAAGUUGUAACAAUUUGAAGAGACUAUAGCAGAUAUGACAAAGGUUUUGGAAGUUGACCCAUCAUAUGAUCAAGCUAGAAGACAGAUUGUUCGCUUGAAGCCAUUAGCAGAUGAAAAACGUCAAAAGAUGAAGGAAGAAAUGAUUGUUGACCAUUGGUGAAAAUGUGUUCUAGGGGAGAAGAGUGGAGGAGGAGGAGAGGAUCUGGAAUUUUUGCAAAAGUAAAAGGAGCUAGUGUGAGCUGAGGUGGCUAGUGCAUUCGGAAGAUUCUGGAGGAAGGGGAAGGUUAAUGUGAGCAGAUAAAGCUUUGCUUCAGGUGCUGCUAAAGAAUAGAUGCUUGUGGAAGUGGACAAACGAUUACUGAGAUUAGCAAAAGGAUGGUUUAAGGGAAAUGUAAGCUGAGGGAAAUUGGAAAUUGCAAUUCUGGUCAAUUUGGAAUGAGCGCUGACAAUUUCAAAGCUGUGAAAGAUCCAAACACUGGUUCAUAUUCUAUUCCAUUUCAGUGCUAAUAUCUUUUACAAACUUCACAUAUAUUCUUUAGUUUCUGGAGCUAUGGAUCAAAUGGACUGAAAUCUUAAAGAGGAUGAAGCACGUUUCCUCACAGUGUUGAUCUCAGUCGUAUGAUUAUGUUUUUACAUAUAACUUGAGAAAAAGAAAUUGAUGUGGUUUUUUGCCAUAAUAUGUUAUAAACAGACUUAAAGUUUCACUUUACUGGAAGUUUCUUAUAGUUGCUUUAGUACUUUCCAUUUCUUCGUGGUGUUGUCCAUGGUUUUGAUACUGUUUUGGAGGGCAUCUGAAGGUGCAGCAUAAUUUAUGCUAUCAACGUCUUUGUCAUGAUCUGUUCGGAGAGUAGCAUAGAAAUGUAGAACCUUGCACGCAAACAGGGAGAGAGUCCACCUCCUCUUCCCACCCAUCCCAAAAAAGGGUAAAUUCUGACUAGAUAUCAUAUCAUAGCCACACUAAAAGUGUGUAAGCUCGGAUGAACACUGAAAUGGUCUGGUUACUCCGUAAUUUUCAUGAACUCUGGGGGUGUUUGUUGGUUGCAUGAUUUUUGGGCGGCUUGGGGAUAUGUGGGCGCAGACAGCCUCAUUGAAUCGGCACAACUCAGGAAUCAAGUUAAUUCUUGAAAAAUUGAAACUUGCGGAAGAAAGGCAAAUGGAAGGAAGGGACUCACUUUGGUAUCUCUGAACAGAGUUAAGGCUUCUGGGAUCCCUUCUGAUGAGAAAGUGAAGUUUGCAUAUGCAAUCAACAUAAGAAAGCUAGUCAAGCCACCACUACCAGCAGGAUACUGGGGAAUUCUGACCAAGGCUGAAGACCAUGUCGAUCAACCGAUAUAUAAAACAGCAGAAUUGAUCAACAAGAGCAAAUACAAUGUAUCUGAUGAAUAUGUUCGAUCAUUUAUCGAUUUUCAGGAGCUAAAUUAUCAUGAAGGGACCACAGUAGGAGCAAAGGUGAGUGGAAUUACUGAUUGGAGACACUUAGGCCAUCCACAGUGGACUUUGGUUGGGGAGGUCCUGUUACAGUUUUUCCUCUGUCAAGAAACCUGCUUGGAAGCGUUGAGCCCCGUUUCUUUUUGCCCUAUUCUUCAGCAAAUGAAGGGGAAAAGGAUGGUUGUAAACUUUCUGUGUGUUUGCAAGAACAUGCUGUUUCAGGUUUCAAAGAAGACAUGAAUAAGUUGAAGAAUUUAGAGCCUGGAUUCCUUUGAAUGAAGGGUUUCUUGUUA